rnacentral:misc_RNA from 1 species
GUGAAUCAUCGAAUUUUUGAACGCAAAUUGCACUCUCCUCGGAGAGUAUGCCUGUUUGAGGGUCAGCCUCUAAAAAAUCGACAUCGUUGCUGUUUCGCGGUUGCGUUCGUCGGAAAUUGGGUCAUCUUAAAUCAUUUUGAUUUAAGCGACUUAAAAUUUUCUUUUGGUUCCAUGAACUUUACUCGGAUCUAUUUCUUUACACUUUUCGGGUAUCGUUUUUUCCUAAACGUGACCAUCAUCUCUCAUCUCGUCCAUAUUCUUUCCUUAAC